UUGAACGCUGGCGGCAUGCCUUACACAUGCAAGUCGAACGGUAACAGGUUAAGCUGACGAGUGGCGAACGGGUGAGUAACACAUCGGAACGUGCCCAAUCGUGGGGGAUAACGUAGCGAAAGCUACGCUAAUACCGCAUACGAUCUACGGAUGAAAGCGGGGGAUCGCAAGACCUCGCGCGAAUGGAGCGGCCGAUGGCAGAUUAGGUAGUUGGUGGGAUAAAAGCUUACCAAGCCGACGAUCUGUAGCUGGUCUGAGAGGACGACCAGCCACACUGGGACUGAGACACGGCCCAGACUCCUACGGGAGGCAGCAGUGGGGAAUUUUGGACAAUGGGCGAAAGCCUGAUCCAGCCAUGCCGCGUGCAGGAUGAAGGCCUUCGGGUUGUAAACUGCUUUUGUACGGAACGAAAAGACUCCUUCUAAUACAGGGGGUCCAUGACGGUACCGUAAGAAUAAGCACCGGCUAACUACGU
rnacentral:rRNA from 1 species